rnacentral:rRNA from 1 species
CCCUUAGACGUUCUGGGCCGCACGCGCGCUACACUGACGAAGGCAACGAGCUUUCCUUUACCGAAAGGUACGGGUAAUCUUUUGAAACUUCGUCGUGCUGGGGAUAGAUCCUUGCAAUUAUUGAUCUUAAACGAGGAAUUCCUAGUAAGCGCAAGUCAUCAACUUGCGUUGAUUACGUCCCUGCCCUUUGUACACACCGCCCGUCGCUACUACCGAUUGAAUGGUUUAGUGAGGCCUUCGGAUCCGCGACUCGUUUUGUGGAGAAGUUGGACAAACUCAGUCAUUUAGAGGAAGGAGAAGUCGUAACA